CAAAACCCAAUCCAUAACCCCGUAGUUAGCCGAACUACGGCUUGCUCUGAUUCUCAUUCCAGAUGAGAUACGUAGGCAUAAGACACGAUGUCUUAGCGAGCACAAUUACCCUUAACCCCUAGGUAGCCGAGCUACGAAGACUCUGAUUCUCAUAUUCAGAUGAGAUACGUAUGCAGUGGAUGCGACAUCCGUGCGAGUCAUUUUUUUACCCCCUUUUUUUUAGUAAAUAACAC
rnacentral:lncRNA from 1 species